rnacentral:rRNA from 1 species
AAUAGCCUAACGGCUGAACCAGCAACUUGGAGGAAUGUAUAGCAAUAGCUGAUUGCACCAACAAAUAGUUGAUGCAAUAUUGACUCUGUCAAAUAAAAUUCUAGGUAGAAUUAUGAUAAUGACAUUGUCUGCCUAUAUGUCUUGACCAAAUUACGUGCCAGCAGUCGCGGUAAUACGUAGAAGACUAGUGUUAUUCAUCUUUAAUAGGUUUAAAGGGUACCUAGACGGUAAAUCAAGCCUUCACAGGGACUAAUUUACUAGAGUUACUUACGAGGGGGUAUUAAAGUACUGCAGGUGUAGAGAUGAAAUUCUGUCAUACCUCUUUUCAAAAGAAAAAUUAUGGCACAGGUAUAGGUGAAAGCAUCCCCUUAUGUGAUAACUGACGUUGAAGGACGAAGGCUUUGUGUCGCGAACAGGAUUAGAUACCCCAGUAGUCAAAGCAGAAAAUGAUGAAUGUCAUAGAUUAGAUAAAUAGUUUAUUCUAUAAAUGAAAAUGUAAGCAUUCCACCUCAAGAGUAAUUUGGCAACAUUGGAACUGAAAUCAUUAGACCGUUUCUGAAACCAGUAGUGAAGUAUGUUGUUUAAUUUGAUGAUCCGCAAAAAACCUUACCACAAUUUGAAUAUUUAUAUCCAUCUUUUUUUUUCGUAAAAAAAUAAAAAGGUAAUAUAUUUACAAGCGUUGCACGGCUGUCUUCAGUUAAUGUCGCGAGACUUUGGUUAGUUCCAUUAAAUUAACGUAAACCCUUACUUUAUUUUUAUAUGAAGUAGUUCCCCGCUAUAUUGGAUAUGAUAACAGGGACUAAG